rnacentral:rRNA from 1 species
UUACCCAAUCCUGACAUAGGGAGGUAGUGACAAGAAAUAACAAAGCAAGUCUCUUAGAGGCGCUGCGUUGGAAUGAGUAGAAUUUAAAUCUCUGUACGACCAUCAAUUGGAGGGCAAGUCUGGUGCCAGCAGCCGCGGUAAUUCCAGCUCCAAUAGCGUAUAUUAAAGUUGUUGCGGUUAAAAAGCUCGUAGUUGGAUUUCUGCCUGAGGCAGCCGGUCCGCACUUAGUGCGUGUAUCUGGUUUGGUUUGGGCAUCCUCUUGGGGAUCGUUGCUGUGCUUAGUUGCAUGGUGCGGAAUUCAAGACGUUUACUUUGAGGAAAUUAGAGUGGUUACGGCAAGCUAUCGCUUUGAAUACAUUAGCAUGGAAUAAUAAUAUAGGGCGUAAGUUCUAUCUUGUUGGUUUCUAGAACAUACGCAAUGAUUAAUAGGGACAAUUGGGGGCAUUCGUAUUAACGCGUCAGAGGUGGAAUUCUUAGAUUGCGUUACGACGAACUACUGCGAAAGCAUUUGCCAAGGAUGUUUUCAUUGAUCAAGAACGAAAGUAUGGGGAUCGAAGACGAUUAGAUACCGUCGUAGUCUAUACCAUAAACUAUGCCAAUUAGAGAUUGGAGGUCGUUUAUUUUAUGACUCCUCCAGCACCUUAUGAGAAAUCAAAAUUUUUGGGUUCCGGGGGGAGUAUGGUCGCAAGGCUGAAACUUAAAGGAAUUGACGGAAGGGCACCACCAGGAGUGGAGCCUGCGGCUUAAUUUGACUCAACACGGGAAAACUU